GACGAACGCUGGCGGCGUGCUUAACACAUGCAAGUCGUACGGUAAGGCCCUUUCGGUGGUACACGAGUGGCGCACGGGUGAGUAACACGUGAGUAACCUGCCCACAACUUUGGGAUAACGCUAGGAAACUGGUGCUAAUACUGGAUAUGUGCUCCUGCUUCAUGGUGGGGGUUGGAAAGCUCCGGCGGUUGUGGAUGGACUCGCGGCCUAUCAGCUUGUUGGUGGGGUAGUGGCCUACCAAGGCGGCGACGGGUAGCCGGCCUGAGAGGGUGACCGGCCACAUUGGGACUGAGAUACGGCCCAGACUCCUACGGGAGGCAGCAGUGGGGAAUAUUGCACAAGGGGCGCAAGCCUGAUGCAGCAACGCCGCGUGCGGGAUGACGGCCUUAGGGUUGAAAACCGCUUUCAGCAGGGACGAAGCUUUUUGUGACGGUACCUGCAGAAGAAGCACCGGCUAACUACGUG
rnacentral:rRNA from 1 species